GACGAACGCUGGCGGCGUGCUUAACACAUGCAAGUCGAACGGAAAGGCCCUGCUUUUGUGGGGUGCUCGAGUGGCGAACGGGUGAGUAACACGUGAGUAACCUGCCCUUGACUUUGGGAUAACUUCAGGAAACUGGGGCUAAUACCGGAUAGGAGCUCCUGCUGCAUGGUGGGGGUUGGAAAGUUUCGGCGGUUGGGGAUGGACUCGCGGCUUAUCAGCUUGUUGGUGGGGUAGUGGCUUACCAAGGCUUUGACGGGUAGCCGGCCUGAGAGGGUGACCGGCCACAUUGGGACUGAGAUACGGCCCAGACUCCUACGGGAGGCAGCAGUGGGGAAUAUUGCACAGUGGGCGGAAGCCUGAUGCAGAAACGCCGCGUGCGGGAUGACGGCCUUCGGGUUGUAAACCGCUUUCGACUGUGACGAAGCGUGAGUGACGGUAAUGGGUAAAGAAGCACCGGCUAACUACGUG
rnacentral:rRNA from 1 species